rnacentral:rRNA from 1 species
UGGGGAAUUUUGGACAAUGGGGGCAACCCUGAUCCAGCAAUGCCGCGUGUCUGAAGAAGGCCUUCGGGUUGUAAAGGACUUUAGUUGGGGAGCAAGGUUGGUGGGUUAAGAGCUAAUCAACUUGAGAGUACCCAAAGAAUAAGGACCGGCUAACUACGUGCCAGCAGCCGCGGUAAUACGUAGGGUCCAAGCGUUAAUCGGAAUGACUGGGCGUAAAGCGUGCGCAGGCUGUUGUAUAAGCUUGAUGUGAAAUCCCCGGGCUUAACCUGGGAACUGCAUUGAGGACUGUACGGCUAGAGUGCGGCAGAGGGGGGUAGAAUUCCACGUGUAGCAGUGAAAUGCGUAGAGAUGUGGAGGAAUACCGAUGGCGAAGGCAGCCCCCUGGGUCGACACUGACGCU